AUGAACGCUAGCGGCAGGCCUAACACAUGCAAGUCGAGGGGUAUUAGGAGCUUGCUUCUGAGAGACCGGCGCACGGGUGAGUAACGCGUAUGCAAUCUACCUUUCACAAGAGAAUAGCCCGGAGAAAUCCGGAUUAAUGCUCUAUAGUUUAUAGAACUGGCAUCCCGUUUUAUAAUAAAGAUUUAUCGGUGAAAGAUGAGCAUGCGUCUCAUUAGCUAGUUGGUGUGGUAACGGCAUACCAAGGCAAUGAUGAGUAGGGGUCCUGAGAGGGAGAUCCCCCACACUGGUACUGAGACACGGACCAGACUCCUACGGGAGGCAGCAGUGAGGAAUAUUGGUCAAUGGAGGCAACUCUGAACCAGCCAUGCCGCGUGCAGAAUGACGAUCCUAUGGAUUGUAAACGGCUUUUGUACAGGAAGAAUGCAUUACGUGUAGUUGUUUGACGGUACUGUAAGAAUAAGGACCGGCUAACUCCGUGCAGCAGCGCGGUAUACGGAGGGUCGAGCGUAUCCGAAUUAUGGGUUAAGGGUCCGUAGCGUUUGUAGUCA
rnacentral:rRNA from 1 species